rnacentral:tRNA from 1 species
GGCGAGUUAGGAAAGCGGUUAUCCACGUGAUUGCAAAUCACUGUAGCUCGGUUCGACUCCGGGACUCGCCUCCA